rnacentral:guide_RNA from 1 species
AAAUAAUAAACAAAAGCAGAACAUAGAAGUAUGUAGAGUGAAUUAAUAU